CACGUAGGGGGCGAGCGUUGUCCGGAAUUACUGGGCGUAAAGAGCUCGUAGGUGGUUUGUCGCGUUGUUCGUGAAAACUCACAACUCAAUUGUGGGCGUGCGGGCGAUACGGGCAGACUGGAGUACUGCAGGGGAGACUGGAAUUCCUGGUGUAGCGGUGAAAUGCGCAGAUAUCAGGAGGAACACCGGUGGCGAAGGCGGGUCUCUGGGCCGAUACUGACGCUGAGGAGCGAAAGCGUGGGGAGCGAACAGG
rnacentral:rRNA from 1 species